GCCAGCUGGACGGGCACACCAUGAGGCUGCUGACCCUCCUGGGCCUGCUGUGUGGCUCGGUGGCCACCCCCUUGGGCUCGAAGUGGCCUGAACCUGUGUUCGGGCGCCUGGCAUCCCCCGGCUUUCCAGGGGAGUACGCCAAUGACCAGGAGCGGCGCUGGACCCUGACUGCACCCCCCGGCUACCGCCUGCGCCUCUACUUCACCCACUUCGACCUGGAGCUCUCCCACCUCUGCAAAUACGACUUCGUCAAGCUGAGCUCGGGGGCCAAGGUGCUGGCCACGCUGUGCGGGCAGGAGAGCACAGACACGGAGCGGGCCCCUGGCAACGACACCUUCUACUCGCUGGGCUCCAGCCUGGACAUUACCUUCCGCUCCGACUACUCCAACGAGAAGCCGUUCACGGGGUUCGAGGCCUUCUACGCAGCCGAGGGUGAGCCAAGAGGGGGCCUGCGACAUCUCAGUCUGCGCAGCUGGCUGUGGGGGUAACUCUGUCUUAGGCCAGGCAGCCCUGCCUUCAGUUUCCCCACCUCCACCAGGGCAGGGGAGGGGUGUCUGGCCUGACAUCAUCCACAAUGCAAAGACCAAAACAGCCGUGACCUCCAUUCACAUGGGCUGAGCGCCAACUCUGAGCCAGGGAUCUGAGGACAGUAUCGCCUCAAGUGACACAGGGACUGGCCAGACGCAGCGGCUCACGCCUGUAAUUCCAGCACUUUGGGAGGCCGAGGCUGGCUGAUCACUUGAGGUCAGGAGUUCAAGACCAGCCAGGGCAAUAUGGUGAAACUCCAUCUCCACUAAAACUACAAAAAUUAGCUGGGCAUGGUGGUGUGCACCUGGAAUCCCAGCUAUACUAGGGAGGCUGAGGCAGGAGAAUUGCUUGAACUCGCGAGGCGGAGGCUGCAGUGAACUGAGAUCGCACCACUGCACUCCAGCCUGGGCGACAGAGCUAGACUCCGUCUCAAAAAACAAAAAACGAAAACAAUGCAGGGGCUGAGGGCCCCAUUUACAGCUGACAAAGUGGGGCCCUGCCAGCGGGAGCGCUGCCAGGAUGUUUGAUUUCAGAUCCCAGUCCCUGCAGAGACCAACUGUGUGACCUCUGGCAAGUGGCUCAAUUUCUCUGUUCCUUAGGAAGCUGCUGCAAGGGUUCAGCGCUGUAGCCCCGCCCCCUGGGUUUGACUGACUCCCCUCACUACCUGGGUGGCCUCAGGCCGGACACUGAAACUCCCGCUGGUUUAACAGAGGUGAUGUUUGCAUCUUUCUCCCAGCGCUGCUGGGAGCUUGCAGCGACCCUAGGCCUGUAAGGUGAUUGGCCCUGCACCAGUCCCCCGCCCUAGACAGGAUGAGGCCUCCUCUGAGGUCCACUCUGAGGUCAUGGAUCUCCUGGGAGGAGUCUAGGCUGGAUCCCGCCUCUUUCCCUCCUGACGGCCUGCCUGGCCCUGCCUCUCCCCUAGACAUUGACGAGUGCCAGGUGGCCCCGGGAGAGGCGCCCACCUGCGACCACCACUGCCACAACCACCUGGGCGGUUUCUACUGCUCCUGCCGCGCAGGCUAUGUCCUGCACCGUAACAAGCGCACCUGCUCAGGUGAGGGAGGCUGCCUGGGCCCCAACGCACCCUCUCCUGGGAUACACGGGGCUCCUCAGGGCCAUUGCUGCUCUGCCCAGGGGUGCGGAGGGCCUGGGCCCUGGACACUGGGUGCUUCUAGGCCCUGCUGCCUCCAGCUCCCCUUCUCAGCCCUGCUUCCCCUCUCAGCAGCCAGGCUCAUCAGUGCCACCCUGUCCUAGCGACUGAGACUAAUUCUAACACCCCACUGUGUACCUGGCUCCACCUGGGCUCUGGGAACCCCUCAUGUAGCCACGGGAGAGUCGGGGGGAUCUAGCCCUGGUUCCUUGGGACCCCAUCCCUGCACCAUGGGACCGGCCGGUGCUCUGGGGCGUGGGCAGCCCCACCUGCUGGCACUGAUCCUGCCUCCCCCGACUCGGUUUCUCCCUCUUGGUGUCUCUCCUUGCCUCUCUGAUCUGUCUUCCAGAGCAGAGCCUCUAGCCUCCCCCGGAGCUCCGGCCUGCCCAGCAGGUCAGAAGCCAGAGCCAGCCUGCUGGCCUCAGCUCCGGGUCGGGCUGAGAUGGCUGUGCCCCAACUCCCAUUCACCCCCCAUGGACCCAAUAAUAAACCUGGCUCCACCCCA
rnacentral:sRNA from 1 species